GAACGAACGCUGCGGGCGUGCUUAACACAUGCAAGUCGAACGCGAAAGGGACUUCGGUCCUGAGUAAAGUGGCGCACGGGUGAGUAACGCGUGGAUAAUCUACCCAAUGGUCUGGGAUAACAUUUCGAAAGGGGUGCUAAUACCGGAUAAGACCACGGAGUCUUUGGACUCUGCGGUAAAAGGUGGGGACCUUCGGGCCUACCGCAAUUGGAUGAGUCCGCGUACCAUUAGCUAGUUGGUAGGGUAAAGGCCUACCAAGGCGACGAUGGUUAGCUGGUCUGAGAGGAUGAUCAGCCACACUGGAACUGAGACACGGUCCAGACUCCUACGGGAGGCAGCAGUGGGGAAUUUUGCGCAAUGGGGGAAACCCUGACGCAGCAACGCCGCGUGAGUGAUGAAGGCCUUCGGGUCGUAAAGCUCUGUCAGAGGGGAAGAAAUGCGGGGUGCUAAUAUCACUUCCGCUUGACGGUACCCUCAAAGGAAGCACCGGCUAACUCCGUGCCAGCAGCCGCGGUAAUACGGAGGGUGCGAGCGUUGUUCGGAAUUAUUGGGCGUAAAGCGCGUGUAGGCGGUUUGUUAAGUCUGAUGUGAAGGCCCCGGGCUCAACCUGGGAAGUGCAUUGGAAACUGGCAGACUUGAAUACGGGAGAGGGUAGUGGAAUUCCUAGUGUAGGAGUGAAAUCCGUAGAUAUUAGGAGGAACACCGGUGGCGAAGGCGGCUGCCUGGACCGAUAUUGACGCUGAGACGCGAAAGCGUGGGGAGCAAACAGGAUUAGAUACCCUGGUAGUCCACGCCGUAAACGAUGAGUACUAGGUGUUGCGGGUAUUGACCCCUGCAGUGCCGCAGCUAACGCAUUAAGUACUCCGCCUGGGAAGUACGGCCGCAAGGCUA
rnacentral:rRNA from 1 species